UUUAUUUCUAUAAACACCAUAACCGUUAAUCACCAUAAAAUUAAGAAUAAUAUCAAUAAUAAAAUUGAAAUAGUAGACUUACAUAAAAGCCAAAAACAAAUAGGUUUCCUUUAGUGCCUUUUAAACUUUUCCUUGGUGGGCGGCAGCAGUAGGAAGAUGGGCAUCAAGAUUCAGGGUAUGUCUAAUGUCCAGAUGAAGAUUUAUGCUAUAGUCAAAACCCUGGAGAUUGUUGUAUAUAAUUGAUGGACUUAUAUGAUUUGGGCCAAUUUGAUGUGUGCUGGGCUCAAUUUUAUUUUUUUAAGUUUAUAGAAAUGGGUUGCACUUUGUUAUGUUAAUUGGAACAUAUUUUUAAUUACAAAUGCUUGCGCAUUUUUGGAGAGUAUGUGCGCAUAUGCGGUCAACGAAAUGAGUUGACCACAUUAUCAUAUGCAUACCCCAUAUGCGAUGCGUUUCGAAAACGCAUUGAGAAUAUGCGUGCAUAGGUGCGCAUUUUAGAACACAGAUUAUAGUGUACCUAUGAGCUCAUAAUAACAUGGUCUUUUUCCUGCGCGCAAACCAAUAUCAAUGCAUCCAUCGUUGCCCACCGAGAUUCAGGAUGCCACAUUACUAUAUCAUACAUAUAAAUUUAAGGCGUGGCCUACAUAUAUACAGUGCUCAAGGUGCCUAUCCGUAGUCCCAAGGCCACCAAAGGACAUUCUGGCAUUGCCUGUAUAUAGGUGUCGAACUCCCAAUACCCUAUCCUUGGCUACCCUUAAUGAUCGUUAGGAGCCUCAAAGCGGUACAAUUAUUUGAAUACAAUAAUAGGGUACAUUUAUAAUGGGAUUCACAUUCAAAAUUUUCAACUGCAACUGAAUCAACAUGACAACACAAGUAUGCAUGAUCUUGAAAACGUAAUUAUUCCUACAUUUUUCAAAUAAACUCAAUGCACAUGUAACAUACUACCAUGUCACUUAGCAAAAGAAACAACCACAUAUAAACACAUAUUUACC
rnacentral:lncRNA from 1 species